rnacentral:rRNA from 1 species
UACGUAGGGUGCGAGCGUUAAUCGGAAUUACUGGGCGUAAAGCGUGCGCAGGCGGUGAUGUAAGACCGAUGUGAAAUCCCCGGGCUUAACCUGGGAACUGCAUUGGUGACUGCAUCGCUCGAGUAUGGCAGAGGGGGGUAGAAUUCCGCGUGUAGCAGUGAAAUGCGUAGAGAUGCGGAGGAACACCGAUGGCGAAGGCAGCCUCCUGGGAUAACACUGACGCUCAUGCACGAAAGCGUGGGGAGCAAACAGG